rnacentral:rRNA from 1 species
UACGAAGGGGGCUAGCGUUGCUCGGAAUUACUGGGCGUAAAGGGCGCGUAGGCGGAUAUCUAAGUUGGGGGUGAAAUCCCGGGGCUCAACCUCGGAAUUGCCUUCAAAACUGGAUAUCUUGAGUUCGGGAGAGGUGAGUGGAAUUCCUGGUGUAGCGGUGAAAUGCGCAGAUAUCAGGAAGAACACCCGUGGCGAAGGCGGCUCUCUGGUACGUGACUGACGCUGAGACGCGAAAGCGUGGGGAGCAAACAGG